AGUAAUUAGUGGGAGGUACAUGAAGUAAAUGAGGUGUGUUUAUUAAGGGCGGGAUGCAGCAAAUAAAGUAUAAAACAAACCCAAAAUAGGAGUAAAAAGUGGGUGUGGGAGUUAGUAAACUUAGGGGUGCAUAGAGUAUAUGGGACAGGCCCAACUGAAAUACAAAGAAGGGGUGUAGGGAUAAGAAAUGGGGGGUGCACGAAUAAAAGAAAUGAGGAGACAUAACAUAGCAUAUGGGGGUGGAUGAGAAAAAAAAACAUGGAUGCAUGUGGUAAUGGAGGGGGUGCGAAGAAUAAAGAUGGAGGUGCAACGAGCAGAAGCGCGUCAGCCCCAUUUCCAUUCAAAGUAAACCUAAUUUAAAAAAAUGAAGCUUCUUCUUCUUCCAGCAGCCUCUUCUCCUUUCCCCUUCGAACCACCACGACUCCAAUCUGCCACCGCGCGUCCCCGCUCCGCUUCACCACGCCACGACGCAGCUGACUCACCGGCGACACCCAUCGAUGACGGAGCCCUCCACGGCGGCUUGACCGCUUCGUCCUCACGCGCACGUCGAACCCGUCGGCUUCCGCAUUUCUCGCACCUCUGACGGCCAACCGACGUCGCUGCCAUCACCUCCAUCCCAUACCGGGCCGUCGUCGUGAACUGGGGACACCGCCGGAGUUACAAGUUUGGCUCCCUCUUUCCUCACAUCAACGUGGCCAAACCUUAGCGCUAGCCCGUACACGACUCGCAGCGACGCGGUGAAGACCGACUCGCCAGCAGUUCCUUUUACCCUUGAUUUCUCUGUUUCGAUGUUGGGCUGUGAUGAUGAAUCGUAAGGAUGGGUUGUAACAGAAAGAAGGUGGGUUCUAUUGAUGAUGAAGAAUGGGUGUGGUUGUGGUGCAGAAUAAGAGUCCAAAAUUAAAUUUGUUGUUUGGUGAUGAAGGUUCGUUGCGGGUUUAUGACGAGGGUGAUGAUGGGAGAGUUUGUGUUGCGCAGAAAUAAUGGGGGUAGAGUGAAAAUGAAAGGAUGAGUGGACUACAAAGGAUGAUGGGAUGCAGUGUGGAUGACCGUGUAGAAGGUGAUGAGGGAAAGAUGAUGGUGGCGAGAGAGAUUGAGGGUGAGGUUAUUUUCUAACACUCAUUCGGGCAGCAGUAACACCCAAACAAGAACAUAUCAAAAAAACAUUCUGCUCUGUUCUUUACUGUACCCAGGUGCGAUGGGAAUAAACAAAAUGAAUAACAGAUGUAACUAUGUUCAUCUCAAACCAUUUUUCAUCAUACAUUCAUGAACAUCAAUAUCAAAUCACCGUGUUAACA